AACGAACGCUGGCGGCAGGCCUAACACAUGCAAGUCGAACGAGAAGCCACCUUCGGGUGGUGGAAAGUGGCAGACGGGUGAGUAACGCGUGGGAACGUGCCUUUCGGUUCGGGACAACCCAGGGAAACUUGGGCUAAUACCGGAUACGCCCUUCGGGGGAAAGAUUCAUUGCCGAAAGAUCGGCCCGCGUCGGAUUAGCUAGUUGGUAGGGUAAUGGCCUACCAAGGCGACGAUCCGUAGCUGGUCUGAGAGGAUGACCAGCCACACUGGGACUGAGACACGGCCCAGACUCCUACGGGAGGCAGCAGUGGGGAGUAUUGGACAAUGGGCGCAAGCCUGAUCCAGCCAUGCCGCGUGGGUGAAGAAGGCCUUAGGGUUGUAAACCCCUUUCAGCGGGGAAGAUAAUGACGGUACCCGCAGAAGAAGUCCCGGCUAACUCCGUGCCAGCAGCCGCGGUAACAC
rnacentral:rRNA from 1 species